rnacentral:rRNA from 1 species
GUUAAAAAGCUCGUAGUCGGAUUUCAGGGCGGGGCGACCGGUCUGCCUACCGGUACGCACUGGUCGGCGCGUCCUUCCUUCUGGAGACCGUGCCUACUCUUAACUGAGCGGGGACGGGAAACAGAUCGUUUACUUUGAAAAAAUCAGAGUGUUUAAAGCAGGCCAAGAUUGCUCUUGCAUGGAUUAGCAUGGGAUAAUGAAAUAGGACUUUGGUGCUAUUUUGUUGGUUUCGAACACCGAAGUAAUGAUUAAUAGGGAUAGUCAGGGGCACUCGUAUUCCGUCGAGAGAGGUGAAAUUCUCAGACCAAUGGAAGACGAACUACUGCGAAAGCAUUUGCCAGGGAUGUUUUCACUGAUCAAGAACGAAAGUUAGGGGAUCGAAGACGAUCAGAUACCGUCGUAGUCUUAACCAUAAACCAUGCCGACUAGGGAUUGGAGGAUGUUAUUUUGUGACUCCUUCAGCACCUUAUGAGAAAUCAAAGUCUUUGGGUUCCGGGGGGAGUAUGGUCGCAAGGCUGAAACUUAAAGGAAUUGACGGAAGGGCACCACCAGGAGUGGAGCCUGCGGCUUAAUUUGACUCAACACGGGGAAACUUACCAGGUCCAGACAUAGUAAGGAUUGACAGAUUGAGAGCUCUUUCUUGAUUCUAUGGGUGGUGGUGCAUGGCCGUUCUUAGUUGGUGGAGUGAUUUGUCUGGUUAAUUCCGUUAAC